CCCCAUGUUAAAAUAAGAAAAAUGUUCGUAAAUAUGAAGAAAAUUCCGGAAAGCUCACAACCAAGAUAGGUUUCAACAGUUGUUAAAACCAUAUCAACAUCCGGUGUGACAAAAAUGACACACAGGUAAACAGGCCACGUGGAGUAGAUGGAAGAAACACACAAUAAAACUUUUAUAUAUUGUACACUGUAUUUUCAUGAAUUUAAUAGGCCAUAUAUAGCACUUUGCUGACUCAAGUUCUUUUUGUUUACAUAAGCAUAUGGAAUAACAUUUUGGAAAUAUUCUAUAAAGAUAUUUAAAGAAUAUUCAAUUCAAUCUGUACAGUUUAAGUACAGUACUGUAAUCCUGUUUCAAUGUAAUGCAGGAAUAGUAAGAAUUUUUAGAUUGAUACAGCAAUAAUUGCGAGAGUGACCAAAAAAUUUAAGUUCAUGUCUAUGAUACACACCUUUAUCAAAGCUGAGACAUGAUUGGAUGGGCUAUAUCUAAGUAUGUCAUCAUCUGUUUUAAUGGAUAUAUAUGUAUUUGAAGAAAUAAGAAUUUAAAAUACAUGAUUUCUGCUUAUGGGAAAGUUGUCAGAAUUCUAAGUUAUAUUCUGAUUAAAGCCCUUUCUAAGUUGAAGCAUGAGCAGAUUGGCUAUAUCUAAGUAAGCCAUCAUCUGUUUUAUGUAUGUGUUUAUAUCAAAAGAAAUAAGAAAACAUACACAAAGUCUAAGAUUUCUAAGUUACUAAUUGGAUACAAAGGUGUAUCACAGAAGUCAAGUCAUGCAAGUCUUUAAAGAUGGUUACAUGUUUUGUAAAAUAUAAGUUACAACCAUCCAUGAAAAGAAACAAAUUGUCAAUUAGCCCUCAAGGGCUAAUACUCUGGUAGUAAGCAUGUCUAUUAAUAAGUAUAAAAAUUUCACUUCAGAAAACCAUGCCUAAGCGGGCUUUAGAGGGGCGGUCAACAAAAAGGAAGGAGACCGGCAAAAGUACCACGAAAUGAUGACUUAAGUCUUCAAGCAGAACCAGUGUCUGAUGAACCAGUUACUCAUGCAGAACCAGUGUCGAGUGAUGCUAUUAAUUAUGACUUAUUAGCUGCAGCAAUCUUAAGACAAUCCCAAACUUUGUCUCAAAACCAGACAAAUUCGAGUGAUACCACCAUGGAAAUCCUGCAGCCAUGUGUUCAAAACCAGGGUGAUAUCGACGCCUACGCUCAUCCAAUGACAAGUCAGCAAACAACAACAUCAACAGUUAGUGACAACCAGCCUCAGCAAAAUAUUGCAGACUUAGUGCGUUAUUACAACAAGACGGUCAAGGAAGCUUUUCAAGAAACACCUCAUUUACACAGACAACAAACAAACAUCCCAGUGGAUCUUCUUUACAUUUGAAAAACUCUGCAAAAAGACUUCUACAGGCUUCCUUAGCCACUGCAACAAGGAAAGCAUAUCUACAUUCAUGGCAUAUUUUCCUUGAAUUGGUAGGCUCCAUAUCCUUACCUGUACAUUACAUUACAAUAUGUAAUUUUAUAGGUCAUUUAUUCGAAAUUGGUUAUUCACCAAGCUCAAUAGCAUCCCACAUUUCGGCUCUAACAUAUAUUCAUAAGAUGUUAAAAUUUCCAGAUCCUGCUCAGUGUUUCCUAGUACAAAAGCUGCUAAGAGUUUGUUACAAAUUAGGUCCAUCGGUAUAUACCCGUCUUCCAAUUAAAGGUGAAAUUUUGAAAAAACUUGUGAAUUCACUAGAUCAAUCUGUUUCAACUAGGGCACAUUCAUUGUUACUUAAGGCAUUGUUUUUGAUGGCAUUUCAUGGGUUUUUUAGGUUAGGGGAAUUGGUUAUAAAAUCAAAGACUCAGUCAGAUAAGGUCAUUCAGAGAUCGGAUGUCCAUUUUGAGACAGCUCAUGGAAAGCUAAAGCAGGUGCAAGUGGUGUUGAAACAUUUCAAAACAGUCAGUUAUGGACAGCCAAAGAUUAUUACAUUAGAAUCAAAAAACACUAAGUCAUGUCCAGUACAUGCAUUGUUUUACUAUUUAAAACAUUAUCGCCAUUCUGGUGGCCCCCUUUUCCAGUUUUUAGAUGGUUGUCCGGUGCCUUAUUCCUUUGUGGCAAAAAAGUUAAAUGAAGUGAUCAAAAAUAUUGGUUUGGAUCCAAAACAAUAUAAGGGUCACAGCUUCAGAAUUGGUGCUGCAACUCAUGCAUCUAAGGUUGGUUUCUCUGAAAAUGCGAUUCAGAAUAUGGGUAGAUGGAAGUCUGAUGCUGUUAAAUGAUACAUUCGAUUGGGUUCAUUUAAUGUUGCACUUGACUUAAAAUUAAUCUAUAUCAUUCCUGGGUAUAAGUUGUUAUCAGCAAGAUAACGUUAUAUAACUAGUUCAGAUGAUGUCUGCUAUAGAUCUGCUCUGUUGUUUGCCUGUGAGUGAUUUUUAUUACUACCUCUUCAAAGUGGUAGGAUUGUCUAGAGUUCAGAUCAAGUCUGCUACCAUAAUUAUGAUAUAUACAACUUACAUUGAUAGUAGUUCAGAUCAGGUCUGCUACUAUGUCUGUCAUCUUGGAAUUAGAUCAUGGCAUUUACUUUUCCCCACUGCUUUCAUUGUUCUAGAUUAGAUAUGUUAGUGUACCCCCCCCCCCCUUUUUUUUGCAUGUAGUUCAGAUAAAUGUCUGCUACCACUCUGUCCUUAGAAAACAUAGUUUUGUUUUUUAGUAUUGUAUUUUAGUGUUUGUAUUAAUAGGGUAUGUUGCUGGCCAUCCGUCAAAAUCAGUUAAUCAUAUUUCAUAUAAAUUCUGUCAUAUCAAAAACGUCAAUUAUUAUAAUUACAUCUCAGUAGGCCAUACUAUUACACAUUGUUCUAAGUUUUACUAAAACAAUGCAUAAUACAGUUAUUAAAGUCUCCAGUUCCAUAUAUUUCCUUUGGGUGGCGGGAAUCCAAUACCGUCGGGAAUCCAAUGGGUAUUGGAUUUAUGGCAGAACUUUGUAUAUGCCACCUUAAUUUUUUUACAUGUUUAUAUUAAGGGAGAUCACCCUGUCAUUGUUGUUUACUAUUUUUGGUUAUAUUUUACCGGGUGAUCUCAAUAUUUGUUCAGGUGUUUUUUAACUAAUAAGGGAGAUCCCACAGUACCUGUUACAUAAGUCAUUUUAAUAAGUUUAAGUAUUGACUUUGUCAGGGAUCUCCCUGUUUGUGAUGUGGUUUAUUUGUACAAGUUUUUGAUUCGUCAUUAAUAAAUGACAUUAUUUCGUC
rnacentral:misc_RNA from 1 species